rnacentral:rRNA from 1 species
GACGUAGGGCGCGAGCGUUGUCCGGAUUUAUUGGGCGUAAAGAGCUCGUAGGCGGCUUGUUGCGUCAGCUGUACGAAAACCCGACAGCGUCAACUGUGGGCUUGCAGGCUGGAUACGGGGCAGGGCUUGAGUUCGGUAGGGGGAGACUGGGAAUUCCUGGAUGGUGAGCGGUGAAAUGCAGCAGACUAGUCAAGGGAAGAACACCCGUGGCUAAGGCGGCUCUCUAGUACGGUGAACUGGACGCUGAGACGGCGAAAGCGUCGGGGAGCGAACAGG